UGGGGAAUAUUGGACAAUGGGCGAAAGCCUGAUCCAGCCAUGCCGCGUGUGUGAAGAAGGUCUUCGGAUUGUAAAGCACUUUAAGUUGGGAGGAAGGGCAGUAAGCGAAUACCUUGCUGUUUUGACGUUACCGACAGAAUAAGCACCGGCUAACUCUGUGCCAGCAGCCGCGGUAAUACAGAGGGUGCAAGCGUUAAUCGGAAUUACUGGGCGUAAAGCGCGCGUAGGUGGUUCGUUAAGUUGAAUGUGAAAGCCCCGGGCUCAACCUGGGAACUGCAUCCAAAACUGGCGAGCUAGAGUAGGGCAGAGGGUGGUGGAAUUUCCUGUGUAGCGGUGAAAUGCGUAGAUAUAGGAAGGAACACCAGUGGCGAAGGCGACCACCUGGGCUCAUACUGACAAUGAGGUGCGAAGGCGUGGGGAGCAAACAGG
rnacentral:rRNA from 1 species